GGGUUGUGAGGUUAAGCGACUAAGCGUACACGGUGGAUGCCCUGGCAGUCAGAGGCGAUGAAGGACGUGCUAAUCUGCGAAAAGCGUCGGUAAGGUGAUAUGAACCGUUAUAGCCGGCGAUGUCCGAAUGGGGAAACCCAGUGCAAUUCGUUGCACUAUCGUUAACUGAAUACAUAGGUUAACGAGGCGAACCGGGGGAACUGAAACAUCUAAGUACCCCGAGGAAAAGAAAUCAACCGAGAUUCCCCCAGUAGCGGCGAGCGAACGGGGAGCAGCCCAGAGUCUGAAUCAGCUUGUGUGUUAGUGGAACGGUCUGGAAAGUCCGACGGUACAGGGUGAUAGUCCCGUACACCAAAAUGCACAGGCUGUGAACUCGAAGAGUAGGGCGGGACACGUGGUAUCCUGUCUGAAUAUGGGGGGACCAUCCUCCAAGGCUAAAUACUCCUGACUGACCGAUAGUGAACCAGUACCGUGAGGGAAAGGCGAAAAGAACCCCGGCGAGGGGAGUGAAAAAGAACCUGAAACCGUGUACGUACAAGCAGUGGGAGCACCUUCGGGUGUGACUGCGUACCUUUUGUAUAAUGGGUCAGCGACUUAUAUUCUGUAGCAAGGUUAACCGUAUAGGGGAGCCGCAGGGAAACCGAGUCUUAACUGGGCGUUAAGUUGCAGGGUAUAGACCCGAAACCCGGUGAUCUAGCCAUGGGCAGGUUGAAGGUUGGGUAACACUAACUGGAGGACCGAACCGACUAAUGUUGAAAAAUUAGCGGAUGACUUGUGGCUGGGGGUGAAAGGCCAAUCAAACCGGGAGAUAGCUGGUUCUCCCCGAAAGCUAUUUAGGUAGCGCCUCGUGAAUUCAUCUUCGGGGGUAGAGCACUGUUUCGGCUAGGGGGUCAUCCCGACUUACCAACCCGAUGCAAACUACGAAUACCGAAGAAUGUUAUCACGGGAGACACACGGCGGGUGCUAACGUCCGUCGUGAAGAGGGAAACAACCCAGACCGCCAGCUAAGGUCCCAAAGUCAUGGUUAAGUGGGAAACGAUGUGGGAAGGCACAGACAGCCAGGAUGUUGGCUUAGAAGCAGCCAUCAUUUAAAGAAAGCGUAAUAGCUCACUGGUCGAGUCGGCCUGCGCGGAAGAUGUAACGGGGCUAAACCAUGCACCGAAGCUGCGGCAGCGACACUAUGUGUUGUUGGGUAGGGGAGCGUUCUGUAAGCCUGCGAAGGUGACCUGUGAGGGUUGCUGGAGGUAUCAGAAGUGCGAAUGCUGACAUAAGUAACGAUAAAGCGGGUGAAAAGCCCGCUCGCCGGAAGACCAAGGGUUCCUGUCCAACGUUAAUCGGGGCAGGGUGAGUCGACCCCUAAGGCGAGGCCGAAAGGCGUAGUCGAUGGGAAACAGGUUAAUAUUCCUGUACUUGGUGUUACUGCGAAGGGGGGACGGAGAAGGCUAUGUUAGCCGGGCGACGGUUGUCCCGGUUUAAGCAUGUAGGCUGGUUAUCCAGGCAAAUCCGGAUAAUCAAGGCUGAGGUGUGAUGACGAGGCACUACGGUGCUGAAGUAACAAAUGCCCUGCUUCCAGGAAAAGCCUCUAAGCAUCAGGUAACAUCAAAUCGUACCCCAAACCGACACAGGUGGUCAGGUAGAGAAUACCAAGGCGCUUGAGAGAACUCGGGUGAAGGAACUAGGCAAAAUGGUGCCGUAACUUCGGGAGAAGGCACGCUGGUGUGUAGGUGAAGCCCCUGCGGGUGGAGCUGAGACCAGUCGAAGAUACCAGCUGGCUGCAACUGUUUAUUAAAAACACAGCACUGUGCAAACACGAAAGUGGACGUAUACGGUGUGACGCCUGCCCGGUGCCGGAAGGUUAAUUGAUGGGGUUAUCCGUAAGGAGAAGCUCUUGAUCGAAGCCCCGGUAAACGGCGGCCGUAACUAUAACGGUCCUAAGGUAGCGAAAUUCCUUGUCGGGUAAGUUCCGACCUGCACGAAUGGCGUAAUGAUGGCCAGGCUGUCUCCACCCGAGACUCAGUGAAAUUGAACUCGCUGUGAAGAUGCAGUGUACCCGCGGCAAGACGGAAAGACCCCGUGAACCUUUACUAUAGCUUGACACUGAACAUUGAGCCUUGAUGUGUAGGAUAGGUGGGAGGCUUUGAAGCGUGGACGCCAGUCUGCGUGGAGCCAACCUUGAAAUACCACCCUUUAAUGUUUGAUGUUCUAACGUUGGCCCCUUACCGGGGUUGCGGACAGUGUCUGGUGGGUAGUUUGACUGGGGCGGUCUCCUCCCAAAGCGUAACGGAGGAGCACGAAGGUUAGCUAAUCCUGGUCGGACAUCAGGAGGUUAGUGCAAUGGCAUAAGCUAGCUUGACUGCGAGCGUGACGGCGCGAGCAGGUGCGAAAGCAGGUCAUAGUGAUCCGGUGGUUCUGAAUGGAAGGGCCAUCGCUCAACGGAUAAAAGGUACUCCGGGGAUAACAGGCUGAUACCGCCCAAGAGUUCAUAUCGACGGCGGUGUUUGGCACCUCGAUGUCGGCUCAUCACAUCCUGGGGCUGAAGUAGGUCCCAAGGGUAUGGCUGUUCGCCAUUUAAAGUGGUACGCGAGCUGGGUUUAGAACGUCGUGAGACAGUUCGGUCCCUAUCUGCCGUGGGCGCUGGAGAAUUGAGGGGGGCUGCUCCUAGUACGAGAGGACCGGAGUGGACGCAUCACUGGUGUUCGGGUUGUCAUGCCAAUGGCACUGCCCGGUAGCUAAAUGCGGAAGAGAUAAGUGCUGAAAGCAUCUAAGCACGAAACUUGCCCCGAGAUGAGUUCUCCCUGAGACUUUAAGUCUCCUGAAGGAACGUUGAAGACGAUGACGUUGAUAGGCCGGGUGUGUAAGCGCAGCGAUGCGUUGAGCUAACCGGUACUAAUGAACCGUGAGGCUUAACCUUACAACGCCGAAG
rnacentral:rRNA from 1 species